rnacentral:rRNA from 1 species
AUUGAACGCUGGCGGCAGGCCUAACACAUGCAAGUCGAGCGGAGCGGCGGACGGGUGAGUAAUGCCUAGGAAUCUGCCUGGUAGUGGGGGAUAACGUCCGGAAACGGGCGCUAAUACCGCAUACUAUCAGAUGAGCCUAGGUCGGCUUAGUGAGUUGGUGGGGUAACGGCCUACCAAGGCGACGAUCCGUAACGGGUCCGAGAGGAUGUUCAGUCACACUGGAACUGAUACACGGUGCAGACUCCUACGGGAGUCAGCAGUGGGGAAUAUUGGACAAUGGGCGCAAGCCUGAUGCAGCCAUGCCGCGUGUGUGAAGAAGGUCUUCGGAUUGUAAAUCUCUUUAAGUUGGGAGGCGUUACCAACAGAGUAAGCACCGGCUAACUUCGUGCCAGCAGCCGCGGUAAUUC